rnacentral:rRNA from 1 species
UACGAGGGGGGCAAGCGUUGUUCGGAAUUAUUGGGCGUAAAGGGCGCGUAGGCGGUGUCGCAAGUCCGUGGUGAAAUCUCUAGGCUCAACUUAGAGACUGCCGCGGAAACUGCGGUGCUUGAGUGUGGGAGAGGUGCGUGGAAUUCCCGGUGUAGCGGAUGAAAUGCGUAGAUAUCGGGAGGAACACCAGUGGCGAAGGCGGCUCAGCUGGCCCGGUACUGACGCGUGAGGCACGGAAAGCGUGGGGAGCAA